rnacentral:rRNA from 1 species
CCUUCGGGGUACUCGAGUGGCGAACGGGUGAGUAACACGUGGGUGAUCUGCCCUGCACUUUGGGAUAAGCCUGGGAAACUGGGUCUAAUACCGAAUAGGACCACNNNNNNCAUGGUGUGUGGUGGAAAGCUUUUGCGGUGUGGGAUGGGCCCGCGGCCUAUCAGCUUGUUGGUGGGGUAAUGGCCUACCAAGGCGACGACGGGUAGCCGGCCUGAGAGGGUGACCGGCCACACUGGGACUGAGAUACGGCCCAGACUCCUACGGGAGGCAGCAGUGGGGAAUAUUGCACAAUGGGCGCAAGCCUGAUGCAGCGACGCCGCGUGAGGGAUGACGGCCUUCGGGUUGUAAACCUCUUUCAAUAGGGACGAAGCGCAAGUGACGGUACCUAUAGAAGAAGCACCGGCCAACUACGUGCCAGCAGCCGCGGUAAUACGUAGGGUGCGAGCGUUGUCCGGAAUUACUGGGCGUAAAGAGCUCGUAGGUGGUUUGUCGCGUUGUUCGUGAAAACUCACAGCUUAACUGUGGGCGUGCGGGCGAUACGGGCAGACUAGAGUACUGCAGGGGGGACUGGAAUUCCUGGUGUAGCGGUGGAAUGCGCAGAUAUCAGGAGGAACACCGGUGGCGAAGGCGGGUCUCUGGGCAGUAACUGACGCUGAGGAGCGAAAGCGUGGGGAGCGAACAGGAUUAGAUACCCUGGUAGUCCACGCCGUACACGGUGGGUACUAGGUGUGGGUUCCUUCCUUGGGAUCCGUGCCGUAGCUAACGCAUUAAGUACCCCGCCUGGNGAGUACGGCCGCAAGNNNANAACUCAAAGGAAUUGACGGGGGCCCGCACAAGCGGC